UACGUAGGGGGCAAGCGUUGUCCGGAUUUAUUGGGCGUAAAGAGCGUGUAGGCGGCUUUGCAAGUCCGUUGUGAAAACUCGAGGCUCAACCUCGAGACGCCGGUGGAAACUGCAAAGCUAGAGUCCGGAAGAGGAGAGUGGAAUUCCGAGUGUAGAGGUGAAAUUCGUAGAUAUUCGGAAGAACACCAGUGGCGAAGGCGACUUACUGGACACAUAUUGACGCUGAGGUGCGAAAGCGUGGGGAGCAAACAGG
rnacentral:rRNA from 1 species